rnacentral:rRNA from 1 species
GACGAACCGUGCGAACGUUGUUCGGAAUCACUGGGCUUAAAGGGCGCGUAGGCGGGCUCGCAAGUCCGGGGUGAAAGCCUCCAGCUUAACUGGAGAAGUGCCGUGGAUACUGCUGGCCUCGAGGAGGGUAGGGGCACCUGGAACGGUCGGUGGAGCGGUGAAAUGCGUUGAUAUCGAUAGGAACUCCGGUGGCGAAGGCGGCAUACUGGACCACCUCUGACGCUGAGGCGCGAAAGCCAGGG